rnacentral:rRNA from 1 species
UACGUAGGGUGCAAGCGUUGUCCGGAAUUAUUGGGCGUAAAGAGCUUGUAGGCGGUUUGUCGCGUCUGCUGUGAAAUUUCGGGGCUCAACCCCGAACUUGCAGUGGGUACGGGCAGACUAGAGUGUGGUAGGGGGAGACUGGAAUUCCUGGUGUAGCGGUGAAAUGCGCAGAUAUCAGGAGGAACACCGGUGGCGAAGGCGGCUCACUGGCUCGUAACUGACGCUCAGGCGCGACAGCGUGGGGAGUCAAACAGG